rnacentral:rRNA from 1 species
UACAGAGGGUGCAAGCGUUGUUCGGAAUUAUUGGGCGUAAAGCGCGUGUAGGCGGUCUCGUAAGUCAGAUGUGAAAUCCCACGGCUUAACCGUGGAAGUGCAUUUGAUACUGCGUGACUUGAAUGCUGGAGAGGGCAGUGGAAUUCCCAGUGUAGAGGUGAAAUUCGUAGAUAUUGGGAGGAACACCGGUGGCGAAGGCGACUGCCUGGACAGACAUUGACGCUGAGACGCGAAAGCGUGGGGAGCAAACAG